GACAUAGGGGGCAAGCGUUGUCCGGAAUUACUGGGCGUAAAGGGAGCGUAGGCGGGAAAUUAAGUUAAGUGUGAAAGCCUUGGGCUUAACCCAAGAAAUGCACUUGAUACUGGUUUUCUAGAGUGUAGGAGAGGUAAGUGGAAUUCCUAGUGUAGCGGUAAAAUGCGUAGAGAUUAGGAGGAACAUCAGAGGCGAAGGCGGCUUACUGGACUAUAACUGACGCUGAGGCUCGAAAGCGUGGGGAGCAAACAGG
rnacentral:rRNA from 1 species